GUAUUGAUUGCGUGUCAUCGCAAAAUAAAAAGACAUUCUACACUGUAUCGAGUUUGUGUGAAAACGUGAGCCCCCGAAAGGGGACCCACGCGGUGGUGCACAUAGGGGUGAGAUGGAUGUUUGAGAACGCUCGGGCGUGCACGACGAAAAAGUCAGCGACAGCCCUCGCGCCUCGGUUUUACGAUAAUGAUCCUUCCGCAGGUUCACCUACGGAAA
rnacentral:misc_RNA from 1 species